GGAAGUAAGAGUCGUAACAAGGUUUCCGUAGGUGAACCUGCGGAAGGAUCAUUACUGAGUGAGGGCCCCUCGGGGUCCAACCUCCCACCCGUGUUUAACGAACCUUGUUGCUUCGGCGGGCCCGCCUCACGGCCGCCGGGGGGCAUCUGCCCCCGGGCCCGCGCCCGCCGAAGCCACCUGUGAACGCUGUCUGAAGUAUGCAGUCUGAGACAAUUAUUAAAUUAAUUAAAACUUUCAACAACGGAUCUCUUGGUUCCG
rnacentral:misc_RNA from 1 species